rnacentral:rRNA from 1 species
CAACGUGGGUAACCUGCCCAAGAGACUGGGAUAACACCAGGAAACAGAUGCUAAUACCGGAUAACAACACUAGACGCAUGUCUAGAGUUUAAAAGAUGGUUCUGCUAUCACUCUUGGAUGGACCCGCGGUGCAUUAGCUAGUUGGUAAGGUAACGGCUUACCAAGGCAAUGAUGCAUAGUCGAGUUGAGAGAUUGAUCGGCCACAUUGGGACUGAGACACGGCCCAAACUCCUACGGAAGGCAGCAG